rnacentral:tRNA from 1 species
AUAAGAGAAACAAAAUUUGUAAUCAGUUUCGACCUGAAAAUCAGGGUAAACCCUCUUAUU